rnacentral:pre_miRNA from 1 species
AUUAUACUCCCUCCGUCCAAAAAUACUUGUCAUCAAAAUGGACAAAAAGAGAUGUAUCUAAAACUAAAAUACAUCUAGAUACAUCCCUUUUAUCCAUUUUGAUGACAAGUAUUUCCGGACGGAGGGAGUAUAUA